rnacentral:tRNA from 1 species
GCGGUCGUAGCUCAGUGGUAGAGCGCCGCGUUGUGGUCGCGGAUGUCGCGGGUUCAAACCCCGUCGAUCGCCCCA